ANNNAAGGNAUACUUAGUACGGCGAGUGAGCGGUAAAAGCUCAAAUUUGAAAUCUGGUACUUUCAGUGCCCGAGUUGUAAUUUGUAGAAUUUGUCUUUGAUUAGGUCCUUGUCUAUGUUCCUUGGAACAGGACGUCAUAGAGGGUGAGAAUCCCGUUUGGCGAGGAUACCUUUUCUCUGUAAGACUUUUUCGAAGAGUCGAGUUGUUUGGGAAUGCAGCUCAAAGUGGGUGGUAAAUUCCAUCUAAAGCUAAAUAUUGGCGAGAGACCGAUAGCGAACAAGUACAGUGAUGGAAAGAUGAAAAGAACUUUGAAAAGAGAGUGAAAAAGUACGUGAAAUUGUUGAAAGGGAAGGGCAUUUGAUCAGACAUGGUGUUUUUUGCAUGCACUUGCCUCUCGUGGGCUUGGGCCUCUCAAAAAUUUCACUGGGCCAACAUCAAUUCUGGCAGUAGGAUAAAUCAUUAAGAAUGUAGCUACCUCGGUAGUGUUAUAGCUUAUUGGAAUACUGCUAGCUGGGAUUGAGGACUGCGCUUCGGCAAGGAUGUUGGCAUAAUGGUUAAAUGCCGCCCGUCUUGAACCACGGACCC
rnacentral:rRNA from 1 species